AAAAUUAACUUUUUCAAAAAAGUCAGUUUCAUAACUGCACCGUAGAAGCUCCCUACUUUUUAAUGUUUCAAUGUGUUGAAUACACAAAUUCCAAAACAAAAUUUCCAUUUUAAACUUCUUAUCAAGUGAGCACUUGUUAACAUUUCUAAAAAAAUACAGGUUUUAUAACCAAAAAUAAAAAUCACAGAUCUACCUCUCUACAUUUCCUCUUCAAGCUGUUCCAUAUCUCCAUCUUCUUCUCCCCUGUUUCCAUUUUCUGCUUUCUUCUUCUCCCUUAAAUCAUUCAUACAACCUAAAAUUGCUUCGUUUAUACCUUUUUUAUGUCACGAUUUGAAAUUUGAAAUCUGGAAAAGGGCAAACCGCAACAUCUUUUCAUGCUUCAUCUUUCCAUGUUAAAUGUAGCAUUCGUAGAAUCAGUUCAUUAUGUAUAAUUUCUAUCUAUUCUUGUACCAUUUAUAUAUAGCUAGAAAUUAUAUAAUGGAUAGAUACAGAAUAGAUAGAUUAGAUCAAUUGAAUUAUCAUGAAUAUACCCUAUUUAUACAUAUAUAUUUAUACAUAUAAAUCCAUAACUAAAUUUUAACUAACUAUUAACAAACUUACAUCUGCAAAUAUAUUAAUUCACUUGUUUUGAAGGCUAGCUAGCUAGGCUCAUAAACAUGUUGAAGUGAAACCUACUCCUUUUACAAGAAAAACGUGUGUUUUGAAUUUUGAUUUCUCUAUUAUACUUAAGCAUACAUGAAGAAAAAUCUUCCCUCCUUGUCGCACUAAAUAAUAAUAACAAUAAUAAUAAUAAUAAUAAUAAUAAUAAUAAUAAAUCUUCCUAAGUUUAACUUAAUUGAUGAGAAAAAUGCAUAAUAUAUGCAACGUCUAGAGUUCGGAAAAAAAAAAAAAAAAAAAAAAAAAAAAAAAAAAAAACUAAAUAAUAAGAACGUUUAUUCCCCCAAAUAUAUAAUGUAAAUAUUCCAUUGUUUAUGACUUUUAUUUAAUUUUGGAUUUAAAAUAUCUUAAAAUCCUAUAUAAUUAACUAUAAUAAAAUUGUAUCUAAUGGAGAAUGUAGGCCGCUCACGGCGGGGUGUGCAUGGGUUGGGUCAACCCAAAAAAAACCGGUCAAAUCCACCAAAAAAAACUAAAAAAAUGGGUUGGGUCGGGUAAUAGGGUGGGUAUGGUUUCAAAAAAUGAAAAAUCUAUAAAAAUAAAUGGGUUUCGGGUAAAACCAGACUCAUAUCCAAAAAAUUCACGUACUCAUUAUCCAAUCCAACCCAUAAAUUAGCAGGUUUGCCCAAUCCGAUCCAAUGGUAUAACAGGUGAUUAUUUUACCUCACUCAAACCGGAGUACCCUAUAUGGUUCGAGUUUUGGGUUUGGUCAAACACAACUCAAACCGAACCUACGUACACCCCUAGCUCACGCCUUCUCUAUUAGAUUCAAAAUUGUUUAUGACUUUUAUUUAAUUUUGGAUUUAAAAUAUUCUGUUGAUUUUCGAGUUCAAUUCUGGUUUAAGAUCACCAUUUUUAGUACUUUUCAAAUUUUUGUGAUAAACAAAUUAAAAUUGGUGAUGGUUCCUUUUUACAGACCAUCCAGUUGCGAUAUUAUGGUGUUUUUAUUUUGGUCAAGUAGCUUAGCGGCUAGAAAAAUUUACUUUAAAGAUGAAUAAGUGAGGUGUUCGGGGUUCAAACCCUGUUUCCUACAUAUAAUAUGCAUUUUUCCUCACCAGCUAAUGUAAACUUAUGGAAACUAUUAUGGUGCUUUUAACUUUAAAUGUGUUUUUAC
rnacentral:lncRNA from 1 species